UACGAAGGGUGCAAGCGUUACUCGGAAUUACUGGGCGUAAAGCGUGCGUAGGUGGUUCGUUAAGUCUGUCGUGAAAGCCCCGGGCUCAACCUGGGAAUGGCGAUGGAUACUGGCGGGCUAGAGUGCGGUAGAGGAGAGUGGAAUUCCCGGUGUAGUGGUGAAAUGCGUAGAUAUCGGGAGGAACACCAGUGGCGAAGGCGACUUCCUGGCCUGUUCUUGACGCUGAGGCGCGAAAGCUAGG
rnacentral:rRNA from 1 species